UACAGAGGUCCCGAGCGUUGUUCGGAUUCACUGGGCGUAAAGAGCGUGUAGGCGGCCAGGUAGGUCGGUUGUGAAAACUGGAGGCUCAACCUUCAGACGUCGACCGAAACCAUCUGGCUAGAGUCCGGGAGAGGAGAGUGGAAUUCCUGGUGUAGCGGUGAAAUGCGCAGAUAUCAGGAAGAACACCCGUGGCGAAAGCGGCUCUCUGGAACGGUACUGACGCUGAGACGCGAAAGUGUGGGGAGCGAACAGG
rnacentral:rRNA from 1 species